rnacentral:tRNA from 1 species
GGUAUAGCUCAAGUGGUAGAGCACAUGCUUAGCAUGCACGAGGUCCUGGGUUCAAUCCCCAGUACC